UACGGGGGGGGCAAGCGUUGUUCGGAAUUACUGAGCGUAAAGGGCUCGUAGGCGGCCAACUAAGUCAGACGUGAAAUCCCUCGGCUUAACCGGGGAACUGCGUCUGAUACUGGAUGGCUUGAGUUUGGGAGAGGGAUGCGGAAUUCCAGGUGUAGCGGUGAAAUGCGUAGAUAUCUGGAGGAACACCGGUGGCGAAGGCGGUUCUCUGGGCCUGUACUGACGCUGAGGAGCGAAAGCGUGGGGAGCGAACAGG
rnacentral:rRNA from 1 species